rnacentral:rRNA from 1 species
GGUGAGUAAUGUCUGGGAAACUGCCUGAUGGAGGGGGAUAACUACUGGAAACGGUAGCUAAUACCGCAUAACGUCGCAAGACCAAAGUGGGGGACCUUCGGGCCUCAUGCCAUCAGAUGUGCCCAGAUGGGAUUAGCUAGUAGGUGGGGUAACGGCUCACCUAGGCGACGAUCCCUAGCUGGUCUGAGAGGAUGACCAGCCACACUGGAACUGAGACACGGUCCAGACUCCUACGGGAGGCAGCAGUGGGGAAUAUUGCACAAUGGGCGCAAGCCUGAUGCAGCCAUGCCGCGUGUGUGAAGAAGGCCUUCGGGUUGUAAAGCACUUUCAGCGGGGAGGAA